rnacentral:sRNA from 1 species
GCGGAGGGGGAGAGCGCGGGCCGCGCGGGCGGGAAGCGAAGAGGCGGGCGGGCCAGCGAGGAGCGCGGAGAGAAAAGGCGCGAGCGGCCAGGAGGGCUCAGGCCGAGACACCUUGCAGCUGCCGCCGCCGCCACCGAGCCGCCGCCGGAGAUUCUGGAGCUGGCUGGCAAUGCAGCGAGAGACAACAAGAAGGGACGGGUCACACCCCGGCACAUCCUGCUGGCUGUGGCCAAUGAUGAAGAGCUGAAUCAGCUGCUAAAAGGAGUCACCAUAGCCAGUGGGGGUGUGUUACCCAACAUCCACCCCGAGUUGCUAGCGAAGAAGCGGGGAUCCAAAGGAAAGUUGGAAGCCAUCAUCACACCACCCCCAGCCAAAAAGGCCAAGUCUCCAUCCCAGAAGAAGCCUGUAUCUAAAAAAGCAGGAGGCAAGAAAGGGGCCCGGAAAUCCAAGAAGCAGGGUGAAGUCAGUAAGGCAGCCAGCGCCGACAGCACAACCGAGGGCACACCUGCCGACGGCUUCACAGUCCUCUCCACCAA